CCUUUUGUAACUAUCUGUAUUUAAAUCUAAAUUAAAGUCUUGGCUUGAUGGGGGCAUUUGCAAAAAAUUUCCUGCCCUAUUUAAGUAGAAUCAUUCAACCAUGAUUUUGAACUAUACUACAGGGAAGGAUAUAGAGAAUAUGGAAUACUACUUUAUUUCAAGAAAGGUUGUUUUAUAGCAGAUGUAAGAACUGAAUAAACACCAGACCCCAAGGCCAAGCAUAAGAAUAUGCCACACACACACACACCAAGAAUCAAACACUAUUAUUAAGCAUAGUAGUAAUAAUAAUAGUAUCUGUUAUUGUGAUGAGACACUUAAGGUUCACUUGGGCAUAAUGAAUAAUACUUUAGCUAGAAAGAACUAUGGGUAAACUUCCUCUUCUCCCUAAAACCCAGUUUAUAGUCUAGGUUUAUAUGACAUGAGCUAUAUAACCCAACACCACAUGUAAGAGAGAAUGCAGGAAAAAG
rnacentral:lncRNA from 1 species